rnacentral:rRNA from 2 species
GAUCCUGGCUCAGAUCGAACGCUGGCGGCGUGCCUAAUACAUGCAAGUCGAGCGGACUUGAGGGAGCUUGCUCCCGAUGGUCAGCGGCGGACGGGUGAGUAACACGUGGGCAACCUGCCUGUAAGACUGGGAUAACUCCGGGAAACCGGGGCUAAUACCGGAUAAUUCAUUCCGUCCCAUGAGGGAAUGCUGAAAGACGGCUCGGCUGUCACUUACAGAUGGGCCCGCGGCGCAUUAGCUAGUUGGUGAGGUAACGGCUCACCAAGGCCACGAUGCGUAGCCGACCUGAGAGGGUGAUCGGCCACACUGGGACUGAGACACGGCCCAGACUCCUACGGGAGGCAGCAGUAGGGAAUCUUCCGCAAUGGACGAAUGUCUGACGGAGCAACGCCGCGUGAGCGAAGAAGGCCUUCGGGUCGUAAAGCUCUGUUGUCAGGGAAGAACAAGUGCCGGAGUAACUGCCGGCACCUUGACGGUACCUGACCAGAAAGCCACGGCUAACUACGUGCCAGCAGCCGCGGUAAUACGUAGGUGGCAAGCGUUGUCCGGAAUUAUUGGGCGUAAAGCGCGCGCAGGCGGUCCUUGAAGUCUGAUGUGAAAGCCCACGGCUCAACCGUGGAGGGUCAUUGGAAACUGGGGGACUUGAGUGCAGAAGAGGAGAGCGGAAUUCCACGUGUAGCGGUGAAAUGCGUAGAGAUGUGGAGGAACACCAGUGGCGAAGGCGGCUCUCUGGUCUGUAACUGACGCUGAGGCGCGAAAGCGUGGGGAGCGAACAGGAUUAGAUACCCUGGUAGUCCACGCCGUAAACGAUGAGUGCUAAGUGUUAGAGGGUUUCCGCCCUUUAGUGCUGCAGCAAACGCAUUAAGCACUCCGCCUGGGGAGUACGGCCGCAAGGCUGAAACUCAAAGGAAUUGACGGGGGCCCGCACAAGCGGUGGAGCAUGUGGUUGAAUUCGAAGCAACGCGAAGAACCUUACCAGGUCUUGACAUCCUCUGCCACUCCUGGAGACAGGACGUUCCCCUUCGGGGGACAGAGUGACAGGU